AUGCUUUUACAUAAGUUUAAGCAAAGCACGCUGCAAAUAAUGGGAACAUCUGUUGAGCAAGAAGGUCAGUGGUCUAUUGUCGGCGGGACAGGUGAGCUUGCAAUGGCACGUGGCGUUAUAAACAAAAAACUGCAUCAUAGAACAAAUGAGGGGGACAUAAUCGAGCUUACCAUCCAUGGAUUCUGUCGCGUGCAGAUACCCACUCUCGGAAAGAGUGGCCCAUGGGGUGGCAAUGGUGGUUCUGUUGUUGACUCAGAAAAUCCCUCAAGGAUAGAAAGUAUCACCAUCCUCUAUAAGGGAAUAGUUGCUUCAUUCGAAUAUUCUUACAUCGAUUACUAUGGCAAUAGGCGCACAACAGGUCCUUGGGGUAGUAAGAAUCCCAAUCGCACAGAGAUCGUGUUGGGCCCUGGUGAAAUUCUGACGGCAGUAUCUGGAACAGUCAUCAAGCAUAAUACUCCCAUGGAGACCAAAGUCGAUGUUGUGCAGACACUCAAGUUUGUAACAACCAAGAAAACAUAUGGACCUUACGGAAAUCUUGACAACAAUAAAGAACUUGGUACUCCUUUCAGCGCCGUCGCGCCAGAUGGCAAAGCAAUUGUUGGCUUCUUCGGGCGUACUGAUGGCAGAUACGUGAACGCAAUUGGAGUUUAUAUUGCCUAA
rnacentral:rRNA from 1 species